AUUGAACGCUGGCGGCAGGCUUAACACAUGCAAGUCGAGCGGGGGAAGGUAGCUUGCUACCGGACCUAGCGGCGGACGGGUAAGUAAUGCUUAGGAAUCUGCCUAUUAGUGGGGGACAACAUCUCGAAAGGGAUGCUAAUACCGCAUACGUCCUACGGGAGAAAGCAGGGGAUCUUCGGACCUUGCGCUAAUAGAUGAGCCUAGGUCGGAUUAGCUAGUUGGUGGGGUAAAGGCCUACCAAGGCGACGAUCUGUAGCGGGUCUGAGAGGAUGAUCCGCCACGCUGGGACUGAGACACGGCCCAGACUCCUACGGGAGGCAGCAGUGGGGAAUAUUGGACAAUGGGGGGAACCCUGAUCCAGCCAUGCCGCGUGUGUGAAGAAGGCCUUAUGGUUGUAAAGCACUUUAAGCGAGGAGGAGGCUACUUUAGUUAAUACCUAGAGAUAGUGGACGUUACUCGCAGAAUAAGCACCGGCUAACUCUGUGCCAGCAGCCGCAGUAA
rnacentral:rRNA from 1 species